GAUGAGCGCUGGCGGCGUGCCUAAUACAUGCAAGUCGAACGCUGAAGGAAGGAGCUUGCUCUUUCCGGAUGAGUUGCGAACGGGUGAGUAACGCGUAGGUAACCUGCCUGGUAGCGGGGGAUAACUAUUGGAAACGAUAGCUAAUACCGCAUAACAGUAGAUGUUGCAUGAUAUCUACUUAAAAGGUGCAAUUGCACCACUACCAGAUGGACCUGCGUUGUAUUAGCUAGUUGGUGAGGUAACGGCUCACCAAGGCGACGAUACAUAGCCGACCUGAGAGGGGGAUCGGCCACACUGGGACUGAGACACGGCCCAGACUCCUACGGGAGGCAGCAGGAGGGAAUCUUCGGCAAUGGACGGAAGUCUGACCGAGCAACGCCGCGUGAGUGAAGAAGGGUUUCGGAUCGUAAAGCUCUGUUGUAAGAGAAGAACGAGUGUGAGAGUGGAAAGUUCACACUGUGACGGUAUCUUACCAGAAAGGGACGGCUAACUACGUG
rnacentral:rRNA from 1 species